CCUUGUACACACCGCCCGUCAAGUCAUGGGAGUUGGGAGUACCCGAAGUCCGCUUAGCGAACCGCAAGGACGCGGCGGCCGACGGUAAGCCCGAUGACUGGGACU
rnacentral:rRNA from 1 species